UCAAAAGUCUCUGCUCGCCCCCAGCCUGCGGGCUUGGGCUCAGUCCAGACGCCUCCCUGAAUGCAGAUGUGUCGCCGCGGUCUUCCCGGGCUAUAAAGCGGCCUCCAGCGCCUUAGCGCGCGCAAGAGCGCUUGGAGUUGUGGGGUGCGGACCCCGAGAGGGGUCCGGAGCCAGUGGCGGGUUGCGGCUGGAUGCCGGGGCUGGCGGCGUGUGGCGUACUCGUGGGUGGGGACGCCACGCGCGUCUGAUGCCUGCGGCCGUAGAGGCCGAAACCGCGACCCCUCCAGGCCUGGGAGAUGCGGCCGUGGGGCGUGAAACGCUUCUUGCGAGCGAGGGAACGAGUUGGACAACCUUUGGUGUCCUGAGCAGCAAAGAGCUUUGGCUUACGUUGGAGCAACCAGACCAGUGGAGACACAUAAAGUGCCUCCAUAGUAGUUUCUGCAGCCUUUCUUUCCACCCCGGUGGUGAAGCAGAUGGAAUAAGUGUUGAAGUUCCAAGUUCCUAUUUCUGCAGAAAGGCAAGAAACUCUGUGCUUCCAGGAAGUCCUGGGUAGAAUUCUGCUUUGGGAGAAUGGAGGAGGCCCGGUGGCAGGCGCCUUCUUCUAGAGAAGAUUUUGAUGAUCCUGAUCGCCAGCAAACUUCAUCCGCCAGCCCUUCUUGCGGGCCACCGGGAGGUCUUCAAAAGCCAGCAAAGCAGUUGAGGCCAAUGGAAAGUCACAGACUGUCCCUAAGACCGAAAGCUACUCUCUCCACCAUCUGGUUUUAGCUAAACUUCUGCAAAAAGGAAAAGAGAAAAAAAGAAAGAGAGAGAGAAAGAAAAAAAAAAAGCUCUGAUUUCAAUGGGUUUAAAGUUAUGAGGGGAAGUUGUAACUUCAGGCUACCAUCUGUCUGCCUCAAAUAUUUUACUUCUUGCUUCUUCUUUGUCAACGUUUGCAUCUAUAGGAGGCCACUGGGAGUAGGAGGAAAAUUCAUGAUUUAUCAUAUGUUUUGAUUUGCUUGUAAUGUUUUAAAUAUGCUUCAAUGGAGUCUCAGAGAGCACAUCUUUCAGAAGGAGGAAAUUGUGUCGGAGUUGGGCUGAACAUUGCCCCUCGGGGAGUCAGGGAUUAUUGCAGAGUGCUUCUGGCCAUGGCUGGGUCAGGGUGACCUGUGUCAUUGUGAUGCAACCACCAGCAUACCUUGGUGGCCUUGGGUGUAGCUCUACGGACCAGGGAGGGUAGAAAAUCCCUCUGAAAGACGGCAGGGAUCCAGACAGUGGGCCCUUGAUCACUGUAACAGUCGCCUCCCCGGACACGAGGGGCCUACUUUACAAUGGUCUGUCUGUGGAACUACUACCCGACCAAAGGCCAUCGAUUCAAAUGCCUCCAAAAGCCUGGCAGGUGACGUAAAUGAGUGACAGAGGUCAUUGGAAGAAACAUCCUUUCUCUCAUUUUCCUUAGUCUAGGUCUUGUUUUCCCCACAUUUUAUGACAUGGGUAAAAGCAAUACUUCAUGCUCCUCUUAUUUCUUUUCCGGAAAAAGCGACCUUGUACACAUAAUUAGGCACCAGGUCCCUGGCCUCCCACUAUGGGUGUCACAGUGGGUAACGAUGGUGGGGAGGGAUGGGUCUUUCUCUCAGUUGAAGAUGAGGUUUUUCUCUAGCAUCUGUGCUGACCCCCAAAAGAGUUGACAAAAUUAAGGACGAAUGAAGUCUUAGUCUCACAGUAGUGGACAGUCAGAGGCUAGCAAUGACUCAAGAGUUCCACGGAGAACCUGGGUCUUUCUUCAUUGAGGCCAGCUUCGGCUUCCUCCACUGGCUGGCCGCUCUCAGAGUGGCUGGCUGGUGGCCCCUUGCAUCCAGAUCUGCAGCUUGCUUUCAUUUUCUUUCUGGGUGCCUGGGAAUGACUCUCCAAUCCCAUUACCUCUCUUGUUUCUUUCUUCCUGAUUGGAUGCACCCAGGUCACCUGCCAGUCUUGGACCAAUAAGAGGCCUCAGAAGAGUGGGGUAUGCUGAUUGGCUUAGGAAGAUAAGGGUGUUGAAGAAAAAGAGGGAAAGAAACAGAAUCCAGGCUCUAUUGAGAGGGGGUGUGGCAAAGGGAACCAAUGUCAAAACCAUUUAGUUUGUCAAAAGAUCAAGAAAUCUGGAUCUUAGAUGAAAUUUUCAAAGUAUCAAAUAAAAGCAACUAAUUUAAACUUCCUUUUUUUUAAAAAAAAAAUAAAUAUCAUUCAGGUCAACAUUGGGCACAAUGAAGUAUGACUAAACACAUUGGUCCUUGGGCCUCAAGGCAAAUAGAGAACUGACAGAGGAGAUGAGGGAAGCAAAGGGUUGACGGAAUUCCAUUAAAGAAUUCACGAGAUGGUCAAGGACUCUGGGACUGCGAAGCUCUUGGUGUCUUUUUUUAUUAUUUUUCCUUCUUCCAUCUUGUGACUGCCUGGGAAUAACACCUGUAAUAGAUUUCAGUGGGCCCCCAACGGCACCUCAGAGACUUUUAAAAGGUCAAGAGCUUUCUUAAGAACUUAACUUACUACUCGAGAGUAACUUGGGUGCUAGAGAAAAAAAAAAAUCAGGAUGAAUGUUCAUAGGAAGUUAAAGCCUGCCUUUUUUUUUCCCCCCCUUAGGAAAAUUCUAAAUGUUAACAGAAGCAUGGAUCUGCUGAGAGAGCUACAGGUUUUCCGUUCCAAAAAUGCUUUUGUUGCUAAUUAAAAUUAGUCUAAUUUUGAAAUGAUCACAUCAUUAAAGAGUAUUUCAACUGAUAUUGAUUUGAUGAUACCUACAAACAUCUUAGAAUAAAGAGCCUGGUGUUUUAGCAUUAUAAGGUGCUCUGAUUAAACUCGGAUCUCUGAAAUUGAUGACAUGAGCUCCCGAUACCUCUUCAUUCCUUCCCACCCCUGCAUGAAAUAAUUAUGAAUACUUCACUCCAUGCAAUCCACGUUUAUUUUAUUUUAUUUAUUUUCUUCUACAAGGAUGGGGGAUGGCUGGAUAAAGUGCUAGUUCUUUGCUGGUCUAUACUAUGGCCCUAGCAAUAUCUUAAUUAAGUCUAGAGUCAAAAUGAAAUAUGUGCCCCAUGCAUGUUUCUAAUCCUUUCAAACCUGCAGUUUUGAUGUGUGAUCCUGGGCCAGCUCUUUAGAAUGGUGUCUAUUAUGUCAAUAAAUCUUCACAGCGAUGUCAGCCGGGACAUCAGCAUCUUUGGUGGAAGGGAGGGCUGGCUUUCAGAGGUGCUGGAGGUUGGGGGCACAGUUUCAGAGAGGCUUCACCCUUAUUCCCAGGGGCAGGUGCUUUUUCCACACUGUCUGCUCCACAUAAAUAUCCUGUUCAUUCGCUUAUUCGUCCCUCACUCGCCUGGCAGCUCAGCCUAGCCUCCUGACCUCUCAGUCUGUGCAAAGUCCAACUUCAGGCUGAAGGCUCCACUGAAGUCCACCCCAUCCGGAAUUCAAGCCAACAUGGGUCCCUCCCUUUCCCGUUUGCAGAAGUUACCAGUGAUGCAUCAGAUGGCUUCAGCCGAUUCGGACUUUGAUCCAUUCAUUUGACUCCUAUCCACUGAACCCAUCCUUCUUGUGAGACAGUAUUUGGAUCAGAAAAAAUGAGAAAGAAAGAAAGAAAAAAAAAAAAACAGGAAGAUCAGAUCCCUGCUGUUAGGGCAUUUACAUUUUGGGUUGUGACGGGCAGAAAAUAGCUAGAGAAGUACAUAAUUUUGCAUUGUAAAAUGUCCACAAAGGGAGCAAAGAAGGUAGCAUUCCAGAAACAUGGUCGACAGGAAGCUGCGUGAGACAGGAGACCAGGUGGGUCUCUCAAGGGGAAGGCUUUCAGGCACAGAAAUGAGAGGGGGAAGAACAUUUCCUGGGUUUAUGUAAUUUUUCUGUCUCCAAGGUCAGCAAAUUGAAGGUUCCUUAAAGGCCAGAUGAGAUAUGCCUAUCUCCCGAGCCCUUUGGAUUUCAGCCCUGGGCUGACAGAUCUGGGCGGAACCCAGUAGGUCCUUACUGAGCCUAACAGAGGGAGCGAGAGACUAGAUUCUUCCCACUCCCUCAAGAGGAAGACAGCAGCAGCAGUUCAGAGUGAGUGAUGGGGGGUGGGGGAGAAGCCCUAUCUCGAGGAGGGACUAUUUAUUCUGAGACUUCAUGGAACCUGGAUUUCACAAGUUCUAAUGCACAACGAUGAAGGUUGGGCACCACCUUCUUGGAGUGAAACUUCUUUUCUGAUGCAUGUUCCUCCGUCUUUUCAUGCACGUCUCAGAGCAUCCCGGGUGGCCCAACUACCAGACCCUCCUUUGACGGAGUGUGAGGCUGAGACACCUGUGUGACUAUUUGGGGUCACAUCUGCUGUUCCUAGAAAAUCAGGUGCCUCCCAGAAAUCCUUGCUUGAUUCUUUCUUCUGUGCCCCAGUGGUACAAAGCAGGCUAUGCCCUCGUGUCUGUGUUUGCCCAACAGUGGGUUAAGAAUCUCCAGAAGAGUGGGAACUGGCUGGCAGGUGCUUCCACUGGCCUCAGAGACUGUGAGAUGGCCAUGAAUCCGAGACUCUGCGGGCCCAACACCGAUGCCAAACUGACCAGCAGCAAUUUGCCACGACGUCUCUGCAGAGAAACCUCUGCCAUUUGCCCAAGCCCUUAGCUCUGGACAGAGUGCUGGCCUUGGCUCAGCUCUGUGAAGGACUUCACGGUGGAUGGAACACAGUGGCAAGAAAACAUGCUGGGGGAGAGCCUAUGGUGAGACAAAAAGCCAGAGACCAAGAAGGGGACGAUUCUUGCUCUCUUAUAACAGCACUCUCUUGGUUCCCCCACCUCCUAAUACCGCCACACUGAGAUGCAAGCUCCCAGGACAUGGACACAGAUGGGGUACCGUAUGUGCUUGAGCCAUAGGCGGGAUCAGGAGCAGUCAAAGAUGGUAACUGGGCCUUUCUCAUUCUGGGAACAUCUGACAGAGAAAGUCAAGGUGCCGGGAUUUGAUGGUGGCCUCAGGAUUCCAAAGAACUUCCCUGAGAGUGAAAGUUUUGAAUAAGCCAAUGUGGCCUCUGACCUGACAUCCGUUCCAUGUGCCGUCUGACCUGGGGUGGCCAGACUCUCGGAUACGGACCGUCAUGAAGGCCACAGUCCACAUGUCCUCACUCUUUGACCCCGAUGAUGGGUGGAUCCUAAGGGCACCUCCUCUACCUUCUCCUGGCAGGAAGUGCUCGUCCUUUGUCAGCAGAGUGGACCACGUGUGGGGAGAAGGCAGCCGACUUGACUUCUGAGGCCACUUUAGACACACUGUGUUUCCAGCUUCUUUUCCCAUUGUUGGUGACACAUCCCGAAGGAAAGACCAAGCAGACGGCUUUUUUGGUUAGGAACAUUUCAAAGUUUAUUUUGAUUCUUCUUCUGACUUAAACAGAAAUUAUCCCAACAACUUUGGCGACAUCUAUUUUCAUCUGCAUGUGGUAUUUGCAACGACUCCAAAGUGGAAGACGUAUUUACACCAUGACAUUUCCCAUGGCGCGCGAUGCCCUUUGUCUAAACAUCCUGGGACGCAGUCACGUGACCUUUGACGCUCGUGUCUCCUAGGAGAAUCCUGGACGUGCCCUACCAGGUUCCUCUCCUCACUCCAAGGAGGAACUCUAAAUGCAUGACUCUUAUUUCAAUGACUUUUGACAUUUCUAUUGAGGUUUUUAAAAUAGAGAUGUGCAUUCUUCUUAAUCUUAGGGAUUCUAAUUGAAGAAAUACCAGAAGUGAAUGUUUUAAGGUCCCACAUGUACCAUCCAGCACAUGGUGAAGAUGUGCAAAGUGGAAUUUCAACUCAGAUUGCCCCUUUCCUGGGAGACCUGUUCACCCUGUAACUGGGGCUAGGGACGCUAUGGAGCUGACCAAUUUGCUUCCCUGCAGAGUGGAUAGCUUUCUGAUGGUCUGCUUUUUGACUCCUUUGGGAAAAGAUGUGUUAACAGGAGAGAACAAUAGAGUGGAAGAGAGUCCUCUCGUUGGAGAACAUGGUGGGCACCAAAGUGUGGAAGUGUGUUCAGCCCUGUUUGCCUGCCUCUGGGUAGGACCGCUGACCUGUCCCUCAGGGAAUCGUCAAGAAGCUAAUGAGUGUUACUCGUGGCAUGAGGACUUUGCAUGUUCAUCUUCUCAGAGGCAAAGCCCAGGGACUCAAAAGACAGGACACUUCUCUGAUUGGUCCUCCUAUCUCAGAAAAGGUCGGAAAGACAGGGGCAAAGAGUCAUUCCUGUUUGCAGCAUCUGGUGGGAACAGUCUCAGGCAGACAGAGGAGAAGUCCGCCUGCUGCAGCCUGGCGAAGGGGAUGGCCCUCCCAUAGCAUCUCCCAGGAAGAGGGUGGAGGUGGAGGACGGGCCUCCUUGCCUUGAUCUCUUCUGGGCAUGUGCAGCCAAUGUCCACCCGCUGGGACCUGCCCUGUGGUGUCCAAAAGGUUUCUUGGGGCCUGGCACCAGAGUGGGUGCCCCCCUUCCUCCCUGGGGAGGCUCCCUCCACCAGUGUCGGCUGGAGUUGGUGGGUGCCUACUUCGGCCCCCUCGGGUCCCUCUUAUGAGACGGCUCAGAGCUUCAGCUUCACCUUCACAGCUUCGUGCAUCACCUCAGGGGCAGCCCAGAGGAGCCUGCUACACUUUGUUUGGCCUCCAGGGCCUUCCUCUGAAAUCUCAGCAGGUGCCUCUGUGACCCCUCCAGGAAGACUCCAACAUCCAUCACGCACUCCUGCAGAGCCAGCACCACAUGCAUGCUAUCAAGGUCUGCUGCCGGCCCAUGCAAUACCCGGGUCCCCUGAAAUCAAGGCUGCAGUGAGCUCCGCAUGGUGAGACAACUUUUUAGGAGCUCCCAGUGUGAGCCAGAUACACCCGUGACCUCUUCUCAAAGGAAUUCUCCCUUGGAGAGCCUUGAACCCACAAAGGGUGUGGUCCCGAAAAUUCCUGGGGUGUCCUCAAGACAUUUCCUAUUGUGCAAAGUACUCAGCAUUUCUGUAAGAGCUACAAUCUCAUCAAGAAGCCCACCUUCCUUGGCCCUAGCUUCAUAUGCACUUGUCUGUUCAAGUCCAGUUUCCCCUCUGAAACCUCCUGAGCAGAGUCCACAUUUCUACCUGCAGUCGGGUCUCCGAAGCUCAGCAGAGGAAAGAUGCUCAGCUUCUGGCAGAGCCACAAAGCAGAGGCAGGAGAAGGGGACACAGAGAAGGUGCGCCUUCCCAGGGCACACUCCCAGGGACCCACCUCGGCCAGUCAAGCCCCCCCCCCUAGAGACAUCACCCAGCCUUAGAUUGUGGUCUAACCAUGAAUUCAUUUUAUCUCUGAAUAUUCCUGUCCUAACAGGAGGUGGUUUUUUUUUUUUUUUUUUUGGUGGGGGGAACCUCCUUUCUAAACCAUAAACACAUCAAUUUGAUUUUUAUAGCAUGUUAGCAAUUACAUGCUUAAAACUUAAUUUACAAAGUGAAACUUGAUUUAAAAAUAAAAAACCAACUUUUCAAAAUUAUGAAACUUUAUCGGAGACACCGAAGAUGUCUUAAUGAAGGAAUUGGCAGAUUAUGGUCCUAUCGGGAAAGGCUCUCUCUACUCCAGUGACAUUAGUUCUUUCUAAAUUAACUAAUUCAUUCAAUACAUUUGGAAACAACAGCUCUACCUAUAAAAUCUAACAGGCAUUCUCAUGUUCGUCAGGAAAAUAAAUUGUUCUAGGAUUGUUGGAAGAAUUUUGUGAGGGGAAAAAAACCAGGAGCUUAUGUUAUCAAGAUAGACCACUAAAAUCGAGUGACUAAAGUGCACUUAAAAUAUGUUAAUUGUAUUUUAUUAUUACAUGAGAAAAAAAAGAUGCAUCAAGAAAAGAAUGGAGAAUCUGAAAACGGACCCACGUGUGUUUAAAAAUUUACAAAAUUGUAAAAAUAAAUUGAAAAACCCUUAUUUUACAAUAUUAAUGCAACUAAUUGCAACUGGGUUUGAUUGAAAUCUGUGUAUUCUGAAAGCAAAACUUUACAAGUAUAAGAAUAAAAUGCAGAAGAAUUUCCAUAGGAUUAGAUAAUACAAACUUGGCCACCCAGGAGAGAAAAACCAAGAAAUGACAAAGAAAAAGAAUAACCCGAUUUUACUACCCUACAAUUUAAAAAUCACCAGAAAUAUAGUGAUUUCAAUAUCCUAGUAACAAACAUAAACUAAAGACAGAAGAAAACAGCUGGGGUGGAGCUUAGUUGUAGAGCCCUUGCUUUGAAUGCAUAGGGUUUCGGCCCCAGCACUGCAUUAAAAAUAUAAAAGAGAAAUUUUACAACAUGAUUAUAUUUUUACAUCCUAGAAAUAAAACUAAUAAGUUGUGUGUAAGAUCUCCAUACCAGAAAAUGUAAAAUAUUAUUAUUAAUCAUCAUCCUUAUAUUAUAUAUUAUUUUGAAUAAAUUAAGAUUUUAAUAAAUGGAUUUCUGUGCUGUGUUCUUGGGUUGGAGUGUAGCUAUAUCAGUUCUUCCCAAAUGAUUUAUAUAUUUAUUCAAUUUCAAUAAAGAUAUCAGGAUUCUCUUUCUCCCUUUUUGGAGGAAAGUG